rnacentral:rRNA from 1 species
AUUGAACGCUGGCGGCAUGCCUUACACAUGCAAGUCGAACGGCAGCACGGGUGCUUGCACCUGGUGGCGAGUGGCGAACGGGUGAGUAAUACAUCGGAACAUGUCCUGUAGUGGGGGAUAGCCCGGCGAAAGCCGGAUUAAUACCGCAUACGAUCCACGGAUGAAAGCUGGGGACCUUCGGGCCUCGCGCUAUAGGGUUGGCCGAUGGCUGAUUAGCUAGUUGGUGGGGUAAAGGCCUACCAAGGCGACGAUCAGUAGCUGGUCUGAGAGGACGACCAGCCACACUGGGACUGAGACACGGCCCAGACUCCUACGGGAGGCAGCAGUGGGGAAUUUUGGACAAUGGGCGAAAGCCUGAUCCAGCAAUGCCGCGUGUGUGAAGAAGGCCUUCGGGUUGUAAAGCACUUUUGUCCGGAAAGAAAUCCUUGACUCUAAUACAGUCGGGGGAUGACGGUACCGGAAGAAUAAGCACCGGCUAACUACGUG